UACAGAGGUGGCAAGCGUUGUUCGGAAUUACUGGGCGUAAAGGGCGCGUAGGCGGCCUUCUAAGUCAGACGUGAAAUCCCCAGGCUUAACUUGGGAACUGCGUCUGAUACUGGGAGGCUUGAGUGCGGGAGAGGGAUGUGGAAUUCCAGGUGUAGCGGUGAAAUGCGUAGAUAUCAGGAAGAACACCCGUGGCGAAGGCGGCUCUCUGGUACGUGACUGACGCUGAGACGCGAAAGCGUGGGGAGCGAACAGG
rnacentral:rRNA from 1 species